rnacentral:rRNA from 1 species
UGAGUAACCUGCCCUGGACUUUGGGAUAACCCUCGGAAACGGGGGCUAAUACCGGAUAUGACAUGCUCUCGCAUGGGGGUGUGUGGAAAGUUUUUCGGUCUGGGAUGGGCUCGCGGCCUAUCAGCUUGUUGGUGGGGUGAUGGCCCACCAAGGCGACGACGGGUAGCUGGUCUGAGAGGAUGGCCAGCCACAUUGGGACUGAGACACGGCCCAGACUCCUACGGGAGCA